GGACUGGAUCAGAAGCAGCAGAUCUGCAUUACCAAGCUGGUGGGAAGCAACAGCAACAGCAGUUCAAAUAUACAUUGUUGUCAUCACACACAAAUGUUCAGAUUUCAUAGGUUUACGCAGGCAGUCAAAGUGUCAUUUGAACAGAUUCUUCCAAAGCUGUUUUGACAGUAUUUAAAGACUGUUAAGCUUGCACAGAGCAACAGCUUUACAGCAACAGUUUUGACAACAGUUGUUUGAAUAGCAGGUCUGUCUGUUUGUGGAUUUGAGUACUGGACCAGAAGCCAUCUGAACAGGUCUUUCAGAUCAAAAGUGACUGAUACAAAGGUGUUGCCCAAUUAAGAACUGUGCGAAGUGGAUCCUUCCAAGACGAAUUCAAGUGGAUUUUUGAAUACACUUCAGAGAGCAGAUAGAAUAUUGUUUUUAAAAGUUUCAUAUCUGUAUUGUUUGACUUGAAUUAGCUUGUUUUGGACUUGACUUGGAUCGGUGUGAUUUGGACUUAGACUCAUAUUUUUGGACUUGGAUAUUUUUUUUGGACUGUUUUUAGUUUCUU